rnacentral:rRNA from 1 species
AGAGUUUGAUCAUGGCUCAGGAUGAACGCUAGCGGCAGGCUUAAUACAUGCAAGUCGAGGGGCAGCACGGGUAGCAAUACCUGGUGGCGACCGGCAAACGGGUGCGGAACACGUACGCAACUUUCCCAAAACUGGUGAAUAGCCCUCCGAAAGGAGGAUUAAUACACCGUAAGAUAAUGAAAGUGGCAUCACUUUAUUAUUAUAGGCAGCAAUGUCGGUUUUGGAUGGGCGUGCGCCUGAUUAGGUAGUUGGUAGGGUAACGGCCUACCAAGCCUACGAUCAGUAACUGGUGUGAGAGCACGACCAGUCACACGGGCACUGAGACACGGGCCCGACUCCUACGGGAGGCAGCAGUAAGGAAUAUUGGUCAAUGGACGAAAGUCUGAACCAGCCAUGCCGCGUGAAGGAUGAAGGCCCUCUGGGUUGUAAACUUCUUUUAUAGGGGACGAAAAAAGGGAAUUCUUUCUCACUUGACGGUACCCUAGGAAUAAGCACCGGCUAACUCCGUGCCAGCAGCCGCGGUAAUACGGAGGGUGCAAGCGUUAUCCGGAUUUACUGGGUUUAAAGGGUGCGUAGGUGGGUCUGUAAGUCAGUGGUGAAAUCUCCGGGCUUAACCCGGAAAUUGCCAUUGAUACUAUAGGUCUUGAAUCAUCUGGAGGUAAGCGGAAUAUGUCAUGUAGCGGUGAAAUGCUUAGAUAUGACAUAGAACACCAAUUGCGAAGGCAGCUUACUACGGAUGUAUUGACACUGAGGCACGAAAGCGUGGGGAUCAAACAGGAUUAGAUACCCUAGUAGUCC